UGUGGUGAAGGUCUGAACUCUCUACCAACCUGGCCAAGGGCAAGGGAAGGCUCGAUGGAGUGCCGAGAGCCUUGAAAAAUCAAGGGUUUAAAAUCAUUGAGAGGGGUGAAAUUGAAGUGAAAGGUAAAGGGAGAAUGACCACAUACUUUUUGAUCCAGAACUUGAAUGCCACAGAGGAUGAGAUCAUGGGGAGAUCUAAAACCCCAGUUGAUCACAAGGGGUCAACACAGAAAGCAUCCUUGCCCACCACCAAGCUCCAGGGCUCAGUUCAACCAUCUUGCCCUGAACACUCUUCUCUUGCAUCCUGGUUAUUAUGACGUUCUUUGAGCUGGGCCGAUAGAUCCAGCUGAAGAGUUCUACAUACAUUAGUCUUCAAGGUUCUUCUCUGGGCGUUUCCCAUGCAGCUCUCUGGUAGCUGGGGAAUGAUUUAAGCAAGUGCUCAGGGAAAUGAAGACAGGAGAACUGCUGCCGUCAUGAGCUAUGCCGACAGUCAGCAGCUGAUCCCCGACAGAAACGCAGCAGAUGCAGACG
rnacentral:lncRNA from 1 species